UUACGACUAUAUCACGUUGAAACACCGGUUUUCGCACAAUCACCGAAGUUAAGCAACGUCGAGCCUUUACAGUACUUAGAUGGGUGACUGCUUGUGACUGCCAGGUAC